rnacentral:rRNA from 1 species
AUUGAACGCUGGCGGCAGGCCUAACACAUGCAAGUCGAGCGGAUGAAGGGAGCUUGCUCCUGGAUUCAGCGGCGGACGGGUGAGUAAUGCCUAGGAAUCUGCCUGGAAGUGGGGGAUAACGUCCGGAAACGGGCGCUAAUACCGCAUACGACCUGAGGGAGAAAGUGGGGGAUCUUCGGACCUCACGCUAUCAGAUGAGCCUAGGUCGGAUUAGCUAGUUGGUGGGGUAAAGGCCUACCAAGGCGACGAUCCGUAACUGGUCUGAGAGGAUGAUCAGUCACACUGGAACUGAGACACGGUCCAGACUCCUACGGGAGGCAGCAGUGGGGAAUAUUGGACGAUGGGCGAGAGCCUGAUCCAGCCCUGCCGCGUGUGUGAAGAAGGUCUUCGGAUUGUAAAGCACUUUAAGUUGGGAGGAAGGGAAGUACGUUAAUACCUUGCUGUUUUGACGUUACCAACAGAAUAAGCACCGGCUAACUUCGUG